AACAAAGAAGUAAUAUAUUACAUUUAGUUUCGACCUAAAAUUAGAGUUAAUCUCCAUGUUU
rnacentral:tRNA from 1 species